UUCCUUACAAUAUCAGCAAAAGCGCCAACUGUACCCUGUAUGUCGACUUUAACCUCUCUCGUUAUCUCUCUUUAUCUCUCUGAUAUAUAUAUAUAUGAAAAUUAAAGUGUACUUUUAAAACAAGAAGUAUAUAUAAAGAUUAUUAUAAUUAGCAUAUAGUAUAAGUUUUACUAAGGUUUCAUGUUAUACUAAGGUUUAGACCAAAAAGAAAAUGUCAUACUAAGCUUUUUAUAUUCAUGAUUUUUGAAAUCUUCCGUUUAGUUAGUUAAUUA
rnacentral:lncRNA from 1 species